ACAUAUGGAUAUCAAGAAUCCUGCCUGUAUUGGUCCCUGAUUCCAAGAGGACAAUGUGCGACUAUUGCCACUAAGGGAUGCUUUGGAAGAACGUCCCAGGGCAAUAACCAGUGAUUGUAAGUUCAGCUUUUCAUGCCAUUCCAUCGGAGCCUACUUGCUGUGGACCUGAAAGAAUCUGACAGAAAUUUUGACAAGGAAUAUCUGGAUAUUACUGAACAAUUCAGUAAGAAAUAUCUGACCAAGAUGCAUCAUCUGAUGCUGGGGCUGGAGAUGAGAAAAGAUACAGCACAAAUUUUUACCCUGCAAACUCAUGAGAAAUUAUUCUGGAAAAGUCAAGGCUUCGUGGCAAAAGAUCUCCUUUUUCAACCUGCUUUGUAAAAGACACCUGGAGGAUUUACAACUUGACUUUCUAUGAGGGCAGAAGGCGUAACAUGCCUUCAAGAGUCGUCGUGUUCCUCUACUUUACCUACAACACCUGCAACAAUGAACGUGAAGACCUGUGGCGAACCCUGCUCUGAUUACUUCAGGGGCCCUGAGUAGGAAGCAAUAUCUUUG